rnacentral:tRNA from 1 species
GGGCGAGUGGCGGAAUGGCAGACGCGCGUGGCUUAGGACCACGUGCCGCAAGGCGUGGGGGUUCGACUCCCUCCUCGCCCACCA